rnacentral:rRNA from 1 species
AUACGGAGUGUGCGAGCGUUAAUCGGAAUUACUGGGCGUAAAGCGUGCGUAGGCGGUUUGCUAAGUCAGAUGUGAAAGCCCCGGGCUUAACCUGGGAACUGCAUUUGAUACUGGCAGACUAGAGUAUGAUAGAGGGGGGUAGAAUUCCUGGUGUAGCGGUGAAAUGCGUAGAUAUCAGGAGGAAUACCAGUGGCGAAUGCGGCCCCCUGGAUCAAUACUGACGCUGAGGUACGAAAGCGUGGGGAGCGAACAGGAUUAGAAACCCCAGUAGUCC